GAUGAACGCUGGCGGCGUGCAUAACACAUUCAAGUCGAACGGAGUGAUUCCUUCGGGGAUUACUUAGUGGCGGACGGGUGAGUAACGCGUGAGCAACCUGCCCUUGUGUGGGGGACAACAGCUGGAAACGGCUGCUAAUACCGCAUAACACAUCGGAAUCGCAUGUUUCUGAUGUCAAAGAUUUAUUGCGCAAGGAUGGGCUCGCGUCUGAUUAGGUAGUUGGUAGGGUAACGGCCUACCAAGCCGACGAUCAGUAGCCGGACUGAGAGGUUGAACGGCCACAUUGGAACUGAGAAACGGUCCAGACUCCUACGGGAGGCAGCAGUGGGGAAUAUUGGGCAAUGGGCGAAAGCCUGACCCAGCGACGCCGCGUGCGGGAAGACGGUCUUCGGAUUGUAAACCGCUUUUAUGAGGGACGAAGAAUGACGGUACCUCAUGAAUAAGCCACGGCUAACUACGUG
rnacentral:rRNA from 1 species